CCCUUAGAUGUUCUGGGCUGCACGCGCGCUACACUGAAGGACUCAACGUGCUUGUCUCCUUGGCCGUCAGGUCUGGGUAACCCGUUGAACCUCCUUCGUGCUAGGGAUUGGGGCUUGUAAUUAUUCCCCAUGAACGAGGAAUUCCUAGUAAACGCAAGUCAUCAGCUUGCAUUGAUUACGUCCCUGCCCUUUGUACACACCGCCCGUCGCACCUACCGAUUGAAUGGUCCGGUGAAAUCUCGGGACGGCGGCUUGGUCGCUUGCGUCCGACUGCUGAAACUUGAUUAAACCAUAUCAUUUAGAGGAAGGUGAANUCGUANCA
rnacentral:rRNA from 1 species